rnacentral:rRNA from 1 species
GGGUUGUGAGGUUAAGCGACUAAGCGUACACGGUGGAUGCCCUGGCAGUCAGAGGCGAUGAAGGACGUGCUAAUCUGCGAUAAGCGUCGGUGAGGUGAUAUGAACCGUUAUAACCGGCGAUUUCCGAAUGGGGAAACCCAGUGUGUUUCGACACACUAUCAUUAACUGAAUCCAUAGGUUAAUGAGGCGAACCGGGGGAACUGAAACAUCUAAGUACCCCGAGGAAAAGAAAUCAACCGAGAUUCCCCCAGUAGCGGCGAGCGAACGGGGAGGAGCCCAGAGCCUGAAUCAGUGUGUGUGUUAGUGGAAGCGUCUGGAAAGGCGUGCGAUACAGGGUGACAGCCCCGUACACAAAAAUGCACAUAUUGUGAGCUCGAUGAGUAGGGCGGGACACGUGGUAUCCUGUCUGAAUAUGGGGGGACCAUCCUCCAAGGCUAAAUACUCCUGACUGACCGAUAGUGAACCAGUACCGUGAGGGAAAGGCGAAAAGAACCCCGGCGAGGGGAGUGAAAAAGAACCUGAAACCGUGUACGUACAAGCAGUGGGAGCCUCUUAAUGGGGUGACUGCGUACCUUUUGUAUAAUGGGUCAGCGACUUAUAUUCUGUAGCAAGGUUAACCGAAUAGGGGAGCCGAAGGGAAACCGAGUCUUAACUGGGCGUUAAGUUGCAGGGUAUAGACCCGAAACCCGGUGAUCUAGCCAUGGGCAGGUUGAAGGUUGGGUAACACUAACUGGAGGACCGAACCGACUAAUGUUGAAAAAUUAGCGGAUGACUUGUGGCUGGGGGUGAAAGGCCAAUCAAACCGGGAGAUAGCUGGUUCUCCCCGAAAGCUAUUUAGGUAGCGCCUCGUGAAUUCAUCUCCGGGGGUAGAGCACUGUUUCGGCAAGGGGGUCAUCCCGACUUACCAACCCGAUGCAAACUGCGAAUACCGGAGAAUGUUAUCACGGGAGACACACGGCGGGUGCUAACGUCCGUCGUGAAGAGGGAAACAACCCAGACCGCCAGCUAAGGUCCCAAAGUCAUGGUUAAGUGGGAAACGAUGUGGGAAGGCCCAGACAGCCAGGAUGUUGGCUUAGAAGCAGCCAUCAUUUAAAGAAAGCGUAAUAGCUCACUGGUCGAGUCGGCCUGCGCGGAAGAUGUAACGGGGCUAAACCAUGCACCGAAGCUGCGGCAGCGACACUAUGUGUUGUUGGGUAGGGGAGCGUUCUGUAAGCCUGUGAAGGUGGCCUGUGAGGGUUGCUGGAGGUAUCAGAAGUGCGAAUGCUGACAUAAGUAACGAUAAAGCGGGUGAAAAGCCCGCUCGCCGGAAGACCAAGGGUUCCUGUCCAACGUUAAUCGGGGCAGGGUGAGUCGACCCCUAAGGCGAGGCCGAAAGGCGUAGUCGAUGGGAAACAGGUUAAUAUUCCUGUACUUGGUGUUACUGCGAAGGGGGGACGGAGAAGGCUAUGUUGGCCGGGCGACGGUUGUCCCGGUUUAAGCGUGUAGGCUGGUUUUCCAGGCAAAUCCGGAAAACCAAGGCUGAGGCGUGAUGACGAGGCACUACGGUGCUGAAGUGACAAAUGCCCUGCUUCCAGGAAAAGCCUCUAAGCAUCAGGUAACAUCAAAUCGUACCCCAAACCGACACAGGUGGUCAGGUAGAGAAUACCAAGGCGCUUGAGAGAACUCGGGUGAAGGAACUAGGCAAAAUGGUGCCGUAACUUCGGGAGAAGGCACGCUGAUAUGUAGGUGAAGCGACUUGCUCGUGGAGCUGAAAUCAGUCGAAGAUACCAGCUGGCUGCAACUGUUUAUUAAAAACACAGCACUGUGCAAACACGAAAGUGGACGUAUACGGUGUGACGCCUGCCCGGUGCCGGAAGGUUAAUUGAUGGGGUUAGCGGUAACGCGAAGCUCUUGAUCGAAGCCCCGGUAAACGGCGGCCGUAACUAUAACGGUCCUAAGGUAGCGAAAUUCCUUGUCGGGUAAGUUCCGACCUGCACGAAUGGCGUAAUGAUGGCCAGGCUGUCUCCACCCGAGACUCAGUGAAAUUGAACUCGCUGUGAAGAUGCAGUGUACCCGCGGCAAGACGGAAAGACCCCGUGAACCUUUACUAUAGCUUGACACUGAACAUUGAGCCUUGAUGUGUAGGAUAGGUGGGAGGCUUUGAAGUGUGGACGCCAGUCUGCAUGGAGCCGACCUUGAAAUACCACCCUUUAAUGUUUGAUGUUCUAACGUUGGCCCGUAAUCCGGGUUGCGGACAGUGUCUGGUGGGUAGUUUGACUGGGGCGGUCUCCUCCUAAAGAGUAACGGAGGAGCACGAAGGUUGGCUAAUCCUGGUCGGACAUCAGGAGGUUAGUGCAAUGGCAUAAGCCAGCUUGACUGCGAGCGUGACGGCGCGAGCAGGUGCGAAAGCAGGUCAUAGUGAUCCGGUGGUUCUGAAUGGAAGGGCCAUCGCUCAACGGAUAAAAGGUACUCCGGGGAUAACAGGCUGAUACCGCCCAAGAGUUCAUAUCGACGGCGGUGUUUGGCACCUCGAUGUCGGCUCAUCACAUCCUGGGGCUGAAGUAGGUCCCAAGGGUAUGGCUGUUCGCCAUUUAAAGUGGUACGCGAGCUGGGUUUAGAACGUCGUGAGACAGUUCGGUCCCUAUCUGCCGUGGGCGCUGGAGAACUGAGGGGGGCUGCUCCUAGUACGAGAGGACCGGAGUGGACGCAUCACUGGUGUUCGGGUUGUCAUGCCAAUGGCACUGCCCGGUAGCUAAAUGCGGAAGAGAUAAGUGCUGAAAGCAUCUAAGCACGAAACUUGCCCCGAGAUGAGUUCUCCCUG